GCAAACUUGGUCAUUUAGAGGAAGUAAAAGUCGUAACAAGGUAUCCGUAGGUGAACCUGCGGAUGGAUCAUUCGUGCAUGUUUGGACCUUGUGUCCAACUGCGUCUUGUGCAAUGUAUUUUGUAUGUGUGUGUGCAUGCAUUGCAAAGUGCCAUCAAUGGAUGGUUCUUUGCUGUGUGCUGCCACACAUGUGUUUUUACCUCUUACGUUGUCAUAACAUUUCUCUUAACACAGCAGUUGUUGCAUAACAAUCAGCAAAACUGCCAGCAAUGGAUCCCUCGGCUCUCGCAUCGAUGAAGAACGCAGC
rnacentral:misc_RNA from 1 species